rnacentral:rRNA from 1 species
UACAGAGGUCUCAAGCGUUGUUCGGAUUCAUUGGGCGUAAAGGGUGCGUAGGCGGCGCGGUAAGUCGGGUGUGAAAUCUCGGGGCUUAACUCCGAAACUGCAUUCGAUACUACCGUGCUUGAGGACUGGAGAGGAGACUGGAAUUUACGGUGUAGCGGUGAAAUGCGUAGAUAUCGUAAGGAAGACCAGUGGCGAAGGCGGGUCUCUGGACAGUUCCUGACGCUGAGGCACGAAGGUCAGGGGGAGCAAACGGGG